rnacentral:rRNA from 1 species
GACGAACGCUGGCGGCGUGCUUAACACAUGCAAGUCGAGCGGUAAGGCCCUUUCGGGGGUACACGAGCGGCGAACGGGUGAGUAACACGUGGGUGACCUGCCCUCAGCUCUGGGAUAAGCCUGGGAAACCGGGUCUAAUACUGGAUAUGACUCCAUGACGCAUGUUGUGGGGUGGAAAGCCUUGUGCGGCUGAGGAUGGGCCCGCGGCCUAUCAGCUUGUUGGUGGGGUGAGGCCUACCAAGGCGACGACGGGUAGCCGGCCUGAGAGGGCGACCGGCCACACUGGGACUGAGACACGGCCCAGACUCCUACGGGAGGCAGUAGUGGGGAAUCUUGCGCAAUGGGCGAAAGCCUGACGCAGCGACGCCGCGUGAGGGAUGACGGCCUG